rnacentral:rRNA from 1 species
GAUGAACGCUGGCGUCGUGCCUAAUACAUUCAAGUCGAGCUAACUGACUAGGUGCUUGCUCCUCUUACUUUACUGGCGGACGGGUGAGUAAAACGUGGUUUACCUCCCUUUUAGACUGGGAUAACUUCGGGACACCGGAUCUAAUACCGGCUAAUAUUUUUACCCUCUUGGUUCAAUAUUGAAAGACGGUUUUGCUGUCACUUAUAGAUGGAUCCGCGCCGCAUUAUCUAGUUAGUAAGGUAACGGCUUACCAAGGCGACGAUGCGUAGCCGAACUGAGAGGGUGAUCGGCAACACUGGAACUGAGAAACGGUCCAGACUCAUACGGGAGGCAGCAGUAGGGAAUCUUCCGCAAAGGGCGAAAGACUGACGGAGCAACGCCGCGUGAGUGAUGAAGGUCUUCGGAUCGUAAAACUCUGUUAUUAGGGAAGAACAAAUGUGUAAGUAACUAUGCACGUCUUGAAGGUACCUAAUCAGAAAGCCACGGCUAACUACGUG